rnacentral:snoRNA from 1 species
CGAGGUGUGAGGAUUGGGUUUAGUUCUAGCAUUUUCAAUGCUUGAUCGCUGUGUUCGCCCAACUGUUUAUGUUACGACUAAAGAACAGCCAUGAGAAACAUCUGAUCUC